CUUGCCUUCUAGUUCAUUCCAGCCCUCGUAAUAGUUCCUUGUCCUCUUCCUCUCUCAUCCUUUGUGCCAUUGCCAGCGCAGAAUAUCCAUUAUUUCCAUGGCGUUGUAUCGGCUAUUUGUCUUCACUUCUUAUCUAGUUGUUCUUCUCUUCGACUUCGUCUCCAUUGCCUCCUCGCCGCAUUUUCGUUGUCUUCCCUUCAUCUGUCGUAACCUCAUUCUCUUUGUAUCCUUUUCAUCUGCCUUUAACAUCUCUAAACUCCAUAGCUUCUUGCUACGGGUGCAUUGUUUCUCUAUCUCUGCUCGACGUUAAGAGAGAUGGCGCAUUAUAUAUAUGAGAGCUUGAGAGAGACAUUUGGCAGAUCACAUGUCUGACCUUAGACAGAGUUUGUCUCACCGGCUGAGUUCUGUGGGCGAGUUCAACAGCGAAUUUUGUGCGCUAUUUUUUGACCAGCAGAUCUUGAAGGAGUGCCUUUAAUUCCACAUCUAGGUAACUGCCAAUCCUUUCAGGAAGGUUUGUCAUCUUUAUUUCCCUAUAGUCAUUAAUCUAAUCGUGGCAUUUUAGCUGAGAUGUGUCUUCAAUUUCAUGGACCUUUGUUCAAUUCUUUUGGUUCGGGCCAAACAUAGAUUACAACUAUCGUUGUAUCGGAAUUGGUUUCUUUAAAUUUAAUAUAUGGUCUUUUGAUUUUGCUAAGCGUUUAUCUACGGGUUUGGAAGUUCUUUUUUGUUUUUGUUUUUGUUUUGUGUGUCCUUUUUUGAUGCUUCCUUCUCUUUUUUUAAGAGCAUAUAUCUCUUGGUGUGGAGAAUAAGACAUAGGAUGUUCCUUUAUAUGGAAACAUAUUUUGGUUUUUCCUUUUUUUUUUUCGUCGAGCAUGUUAGGAAUGUUGGACAAUCCAUAUAUUGAGCAUGAAGGUAUGAGACAGGAUACAUCGCUUAAUCAUACUCCUCUGUUCCGGUUAAGGUUGGUACUAUUAUUUUUGCUUUGUGUAGUUUUAUUUUUAAUGUAACAGGUUGGUUAAUAUUGUUUCAAGUAUUCGGUAAAAAUUUAUGAUUGUUAAAGUUUUUUUGUUUAGGAAAAGAAAAGUUAGUCAUGGACGAGAACAGUUGGAUGAUUAUCAUAAGUUGUCAGCUUUGUCUGCGCAUCCAAAUAACACUAAAUUUGGGUCCAGUGUCACUCGAGACUCCUGCAUCGUGCAUGCUGAAUCAAGGAAUGUUGUUGUGGAUAAAGCUCAAUCCUAUGAAGGGUAUAAUGAUGAAGGAGAUCCAGUGUUUGCUUGUGGUCACUGUAGAGCCUUGGUGUGGUACAAUGAAAGAAUUAAGCAUGGACCAUUUAUUGAACCAUUCCGAUUUUCACUCUGUUGUGUGGAAGGAAAAAUAAAGUUGCCACCACAACUAUCGCCACCAGUGUACUUGAAGCAUUUGUUUUUUGAUUUUGGUGCAAGUGAUUCUUAAAAUUUUAUGAAGAACAUUAGAUCUUAUAACAAUAUGUUCUCUUUUACUUUCAUGGGAGGCUAGGUAAAAAUUCACGAUGGAUGUGGUCCUUAUUCAUUCAUAAUAGGUGGUCAAAAUUAUCAUCAUAUCGGGAGUCUUUUACCUGAAAGUAGGACCACUCUUGUUUACUCCUAGCUUUAUGUGUUUGACACUGAUAAUGAGAUCGAUAAUUGAAUAUUUGUGGUGAGGUUGUGACUUUUUUUAGAAAGAUUUCAUUGAAAAAUUCUUUCCUUGGUUUCCUUUUGUGAAUUUUUGUUAUUUGUUUACUUUUGUAGGGGGCGGAACAAAGAAAGCCAUCUAGAUCCCGAUAUUAUGACGAAAUUAAUGCAUUUGUUCGACAAUGUUAAUAUUUUGGUACAAUUAUACAAAUCGGCCUCAACAAUUCUUAUAAACAAUUAUGAAGAUGAUAUUAAAAUACAGUUACUUAGUGAAUGCUUAAGUCGUUGGAGGAAUUACGAUUUGCCUGUGACUUCUGAUGUUGCUACUCUUGUUGUCGGAGAUUUCAACCAUUCUUACCACCCUAGGGACAUUAUUGUCAACAAAUAGUUGGGUGAGUUAAGGAGAAUCUAUGACCUUUAUUAAUCGUAUUUGCCUCUUCAAUACCCUAUUUUGUUUCCAUUUGGUACUAGAGGAUAUGAAUCUAAUAUCAAACACAAGCAUCAAUUUGAGUCUGUGCAGUUGACAAAAGGUUUCUGUUCAAGAAUUUUUUUCGUACCGCUUCAUAAGUAGAUAUAAUGAAUGUUCUACUCUACUCCAUUCUGGGAAAUUAUUCCAGUAAUUUGUUGUUGAUGGUUAUACAAUGAUUGAGGCUGAUUGACUUUGAUUUAUUCGAUCAAACCAAGCUAAAUUACGUGUUGAUAAGUAUAAGUCAUUGACAGAUGCUAUUUUGAAGGGUGAGGAUUGUGCCGUUUCCAUUGGUAAGCACAUAGUCUUGUCAUCCUCAUUUAUUGGUGGCCCUAGAUAUUUACUUGAAAAUUACCAAGAUGCUAUGGCUAUUGUACGAGCUAGAGGUCAUUCAGAUUUAUUUCUAACUUUUAUAUGUAACCCUGCUUGGCUUGAAUUGAAGUGAGUUUGUGAAUAUUCUCUAUGCACAGUGUCUUACAGACCUGAUUACAUCACAAGAAUCUUUCAUUUGAAAUUGCAAACUUUACUUGAUGUGAUAAAGGAUGAGCAAGUUUUUGGGGUUGUUGAGUUGUGUUCACCAUUGAGUUUCAGAAAAGAGGCUUGCCUCAUGCUCAUAUCAUACUCCAGCUUGCCAAAAAAGACAAGUUAUAAAAGGCAGUUGAUAGAGUGAUUUCUGUCGAGAUUCCUAAUCCUUCAAAGGACCUGGUUUUACAUGAUCUUGUGAAAAACCAUAUGCUGCAUGGACCUUGUGGCCUUUCUAAUGAUAAGGCUCCUUGUAUGAGAGAUGGCAAGUGUUGUAAAUAUUACCCAAGGAAGUUUCAUUCUGCCACGAUUGUUGAUAAGGAAGGGUAUCCUACAUACAGAAGAAGAGAUGGUGGUUUUAACAAUUUUGAAGAAAGGAGUCCUUUUUGAUAAUUAGUUUGUCAUUCCAUAUAAUCCUUACCUUUGCUCAAAUUCCAAUGUCAUUUAAAUUUGGAAAAGAUGAAUCAGACUAACUCAGUUAAGUACCUUUUCAAGUAUGUCGGUAAAGGCAAUGACAGAGUAAUUUCUUCUUUUUACCAAGGGAAUAGAAGUAAUAGUAAAGAAGAUUUCCAUGAUGAGAUUAAGCAAUACUGUGAUUGUCGUUAUAUCUCGUCUUGUAAGGAAGCUUGGUGUAUAUUUGGUUUCAAUGUCCAGUACAAGUAUCCUUCUAUUGAGAGGUUGAGAUUCUACUUACCUGAUGAGCAACCAGUUUUCUAUUCUGACUUCUCCAAGCUCAGCUCUAUUUUGGAAAGCCCAACUAUUGGCCAAUCAUUGUUCCUUUUUUGGAUAAAGUAUAAUGCUGAUAAUAUAGAUGGACAUGAUUUGACAUAUGUUGAAUUUCCUUCUAAAUUUGUUUACAAUAAAAAAGAUCAUUUCUGGAAGCCACGUGAGAGAGGAAUUAAGAUUGGUCGACUGACUCAUGUUCAUCCUAGUACAGGUGAAUUGUAUUUUAUGCGAGUUAUGCUUAACAAGAUCAAAGGAACUUCUUCUUAUGAAGAUCUUUGAACAGUUAACAAUGUUGUUCAUCCUACUUAUAGGUUAGUAUGUUUUGCAAUGGGAUUAUUAGACGAUGAUCAUGAAUUUAUUGCUGCUAUCCAGGAGGUUUCCCAUUGGGUUUUUGCAGUGGGUUUGUGUAGAUUUUUUGCUCAAAUGCUUUUGUCUCAAACUUUGUCUGGGAUCGAACAAAAUUUUUCAUGUGUAAUGACAUGCUCUACAUCCCGAAGGCGAAUGAAAACUUGUCUGGCAUUAAAUUCUCACCUUUAGAGAAAGAAAAUGAUGCAUUGAAAGUUAUCAACAAUUUCCUGAGGAACAAUGGCAAAUCAUUACAUGAUUACCCUGAGUUUUCAGUCCUUCUGAUAGUGAACCCUCUUACUUAUUCAACUCUUUGAUAUUGGAGGAAAUUGAAUGUUGAUAGGGAUUCUCUUUUUGUACAGGCCACUGAAUUAAUUUCCAAGUUGACGGCAGGAUAGCAUUAUAUUUUCCGUCGUCUUAUAGAAAGUAUGUCCAACACAAAUUCAAAUUUUUUUUUGUUUAUGAUUUUGGAGGUACUAGGAAAACAUAUUUGUGGAAUUGUUUGAGCACUUUUUUGAAAUCUUAAGUGAAAUAGUUUUGAGUGUUGCUUCUAGUGGCAUUGCAUCGACAUUACUUCCAAAUGGCUGAAUAGCUCAUUCUAGAUUUUCUAUUCCCAUUGAUAUUAAUGAAGAUUCUACUUGUAGCAUUAAAUAGAAUUCACCUUUGGCUAUGUUGAUUCGUAAGGCCAAACUUAAAAUUUGGGAUAAAGCACCUAUGAUUCAUCAAUUUUGUAUCAAAGCUGUAGAUAGAUCUUUUAGAGAUUUAAUGAGGAUUGAUUCUGACAGGAAUCAAUUUUUUCCAUUUGGAGGGAAGUGUGUCAUUAUGGGUGGUAACUUCAGGUAAAUCUUACCAGUUAUCACUAGAGGGGAUAGGGCUGAUAUGGUAAAUGCAACCAGUAAUCAUUCAUAUUUAUGGCAAUAUUGCAAGGUGUUUACUCUUACUAAAAAUCUAAGGUUGCAGGCUGUUAGACACCAAGAUCAAGAAGAUUUAGAAGAAUUUUCCAAAUGGUUACUUGAUGUAGGUGAAGGAAGUUUUUGACAAUAUCCCUGUGAUGUAGUUGACAUGCACCAUCGUGAGCGAGGAUUACAUUGUGGUGCGAGAGGUUUAAUUCUCAUAAAUUAUAUAAAUAAUGCCUAUUUUUAUCAGAUUCAAUAUUGUGCUAAUCGGACGCCAAGGAUGAUAGAAGGAAUGGCAGGCUGUACCGUCAUUUUUUUUCCCAUUACUGUUGCUUUAGGUUUCUAUCAAAUUAAUGACGUUCAAUUUCUCGUGUUAUUUUUUCUCAGUGAAGGAGAUAUCUGUAACUUGUGUCAGUUAUUACUAUUGGAUUAUUUAUUCUAAAUUUUUUUCCCAC